AACGAACGCUGGCGGCAUGCCUAACACAUGCAAGUCGAACGAGACCUUCGGGUCUAGUGGCGCACGGGUGCGUAACGCGUGGGAACCUGCCCUUAGGUUCGGAAUAACUCCCCGAAAGGGGUGCUAAUACCGGAUAAUGUCUUCGGACCAAAGAUUUAUCGCCUUUGGAUGGGCCCGUGUUGGAUUAGCUAGUUGGUAGGGUAAAAGCCUACCAAGGCGACGAUCCAUAGCUGGUCUGAGAGGAUGAUCAGCCACACUGGGACUGAGACACGGCCCAGACUCUUACGGGAGGCAGCAGUGGGGAAUAUUGGACAAUGGGCGAAAGCCUGAUGCAGCAAUGCCGCGUGAGUGAUGAAGGCCUUAGGGUUGUAAAGCUCUUUUACCCGGGAUGAUAAUGACAGUACCGGGAGAAUAAGCGCCGGCUAACUCCGUG
rnacentral:rRNA from 1 species